rnacentral:rRNA from 1 species
UCGGGAAUUUUGGGCAAUGGGCGAAAGCCUGACCCAGCAACGCCGCGUGAGGGAUGGAGUAUUUCGGUAUGUAAACCUCGAAAGAAUGGGAAGAAUAAAUGACGGUACCAUUUAUAAGCUCCGGCUAACUACGUGCCAGCAGCCGCGGUAAUACGUAGGGAGCAAGCGUUGUUCGGAUUUACUGGGCGUAAAGGGCGCGUAGGCGGCGCGGUAAGUCACUUGUGAAAUCUCUGAGCUUAACUCAGAACGGCCAAGUGAUACUGCUGUGCUAGAGUGCGGAAGAGGCAACCGGAAUUCUUGGUGUAGCGGUGAAAUGCGCAGAUAUCAAGAGGAACACCUGAGGCGAAGGCGGGUUGCUGGGCCGACACUGACGCUGAUGCGCGAAAGCCAGGGGAGCAAACG